AACGUGGGUGACCUGCCUUCGAGUGGGGGAUAACGUCCCGAAAGGGACGCUAAUACCGCAUAAUAUGCUGCCUUUUAAGAGGUGGACAGCAAAGCUGGGGAUCGCAAGACCUGGCGCUUGAAGAGGGGCCCGCGUCCGAUUAGCUAGUUGGUGAGGUAAUGGCUCACCAAGGCAACGAUCGGUAGCCGGCCUGAGAGGGUGAUCGGCCACACCGGAACUGAGACACGGUCCGG
rnacentral:rRNA from 1 species